UGGGGAAUAUUGGACAAUGGGCGGAAGCCUGAUCCAGCAACGCCGCGUGAGGGAUGACGGCCUUCGGGUUGUAAACCUCUUUCAGUACCGACGAAGCGAAAGUGACGGUAGGUACAGAAGAAGGACCGGCCAACUACGUGCCAGCAGCCGCGGUAAUACGUAGGGUCCGAGCGUUGUCCGGAAUUAUUGGGCGUAAAGGGCUCGUAGGCGGUUUGUCGCGUCGGGAGUGAAAACAGCGGGCUUAACUCGUUGCUUGCUUUCGAUACGGGCAGACUAGAGGUAUGCAGGGGAGAAUGGAAUUCCUGGUGUAGCGGUGAAAUGCGCAGAUAUCAGGAGGAACACCGGUGGCGAAGGCGGUUCUCUGGGCAUUACCUGACGCUGAGGAGCGAAAGUGUGGGGAGCGAACAGG
rnacentral:rRNA from 1 species